rnacentral:tRNA from 1 species
GCGGCCGUAGCUCAGUUGGAUAGAGCGACUGGCUUCGGACCAGUAGGUCGGGGGUUCGAAUCCCUCCGGCCGCACCA